GGAGAUGCAGGUGAGUUGAUGCUCCAUAAGGCGUUCAAGCAGAGAGGAGCUGGAGAUGUCCCAAGAGACAACCGUGUGCAUUGCUCUCCAGUACUGCCUCAGUGACACUGUGGCAGCAGCCUGGAGUCAGCCACAGGGGGAGGAGUGUCUACCGCACGGGCGUCACCCGGGCUUGCCCUCUCCAGCCCACACCAGAGCAGUCACCAGCAGUUUCUAUCCGUGACUCAGAAGUAAACGAGUGGGACGGCACCCUGGUGACCCACUGGCUGAGGCCAUGAAGCCAUGACUUGGUUAACUAUUCAAAGCCUCUCCGUGGAGCUGCGCCCACACUGCGUUUGGAAGGCAGCCUUCUUGGGAUCUUCUUCCUCAGAGUGACAGGAUACGCAUUCCUCUCCCAAGUGAGGGACGCUUCGCAGAUUGUCACAAGGCUCUUUGUCCACGGGGCUGGUAUGGGCUUUUUGGCCACUCCGAGUCCCAAGACUCGAGGGUGAGACUGUCAGCUUCGGGAACGUCCUGGCCGCCGGUGCUCAGGGGCUGUCACCUGCUGGCACGGACCGGGUGGCUGAGCAGCUGACUCCACCCCAAAGAAAUCCUGCUGCACCUUGCUGUGGUUUUUGUGUGCUCUCUUGAGCACACAGUGAAGUGCAAUUCCCAUUUUAACAGUAUUCAGAGGUAGGACCUUUCAGGAGAGCGUAGGCCACUGGCUCUGCCUCCUGGGGAUGGUGUUUCAAAACGCCGGGUGUGGCCUCCUUCGGUCCCUUGGCCCGUCUGCCUUCCCUGGGCAAAGGCCUACCACUUCCUGCCCUCCAGGGGACACUCAAAGCACCAUCAUCUCCAAAUGACACUUGCCCAGCUGGCCACUGCCUUGACGUUGGACUUCGCAGCCUCAGGACUGUGAGCUACUACAGUUUGGUUCUUUAUGAAUCGCUCCGUGUGGCAGCCUGUCACGGCCACACACCGCAGACUGCCGGUCUCCAGCUCACACAGCUCUCCCCGGUCUCUGGCUCCUAGGCACCUGCCAAACCGCCUGCUCGUGGGAUUCCCCCGACCCAGCCCCAUAGGCUGCCCAGAGCCUGGAGAGUGUGAUGCAAGAGGUGCGGCCCCAGAUCCUCACAGCACCGGCCGGAGUUUCAGCGUCGGAAGCUGCCUAUAACAUUCCAGCUGGAGUUUCAGAGUCAGAUGGGACCUCAGAGGCCACCUAGUUUAACUUCUCUGCAGCACCGGAGCUCUUCCUGAUGCCCCACUGACCUCUCCAAGGAACCCUUUGGAGAGGCUGGCCACCUGGAAUUGUUAGGAAGUGUUGUUAGCCCGUUUCUCUCUGAUUCCCAACAUCAGUGGCUGCCAGAUCAGCAUCACCCCUCUGUGGUGCAGAAAAUGCCAGCUCUCUUCUCUGCAACAGCCUUGCCUACUCACAAGGACAACAGUGCGUGACCCAAGUCAUCCCAGAGCGAACGUGCACCGUUUCGCGAUCUUGCCUAAGGAUGAGACUUCCAGAACUCCCCUUGGACACCAUCCAGACUUCCACAUCCGCCUUUAAGAACAUCCACAAGAUCUGGAUGUGACAUCGAGAACAAAGGGCUGUGGGGACACUCCCUUCCUUCAUGUAGCCACGGUGUCCCGCUGGCGCAGACCCACCGACUACUUCAUGGCAGUCACGUUACACACUGGUGCACUCUGAGUUGUGGCAGUCUAGGAUUUCUGACCCUUGCUGUAUUUUGUCUUUAUGUAAUUCAUUACUUGAACCUACGUGAGACACUUUACCUUUUAAGAGUUCAAUCUUUCAGUUUCAGUUUAUUAAGAUUUUUUUUUCAGUCCUGACAUUGGUGACCUAACCCUUUAAUGCUUUCUCUUAGCUUUGUGCCAUUUUGCAGUAAAAAUUUGCAUAAGACAACUCCAGGGCCACAACUAUGGCCCAGGGUGUCCUAUAGGUCUGUUUAUCAGUUGAGGCAGAGCAUUGGAAAUUAGUUACUCCUCAACCAUGCCUUGAUAGCUCUGCAUGUAAUAACAUCCAUUCCACGUCCCAGAAAUCUAUUUUUUAAAAUUCACACUGACCGGAGAGAUGGGCUGUCGGGCCACUUCCUCCCCAGCUCAGACAGGCCAGGAGUGCCUUUCCUGCUAACACAUUUGCCCUGUGCUCCAUGCCCACCUAGUCAGGUUUUGGAGAUGUACAUAAUUACUGGUCCCAAAGUUUCCAGAAUCUUCUAUUAUGCUGGUGUUUCUAUACCACUCACCCUCUUCUUAGGAUGACAUGGGUGAGUGACAUAGUGGGUGAAUGCAUGGGAAAAGAUGCAACCUCCAGUGUCAUAAGGAAGGUGCCUUACAAAGGUUGAGCUUCUACAAAGGAAGUGGCUGGGGGAGUUUUCUGUUUCAGCGUUACCUACAUUCUUUUCAUCUUUAUUCCUCCUACAUUUAUCUCAGCCACCAGUGCCCUGGCUAACCUAAUUUUGAAAUUCCUCUCUGUGCCUAUAGACCUUAUAAUGACAACAUGUUUUUCUAAAAGGGCAAGUGAUGUGAAUCUGGUGGGAAAUGGUUAAAUCAAAUGUCCUGAGCAAAAGUACUCAUAAAGUCCUUUCCCAACUGCACACCAUGGAACCAGACACAGGCACUCGGGAACAGGAAGGAAAGUUAACCCCUGGUGGGAAUGUGGUUGGGGAGGGUGGAGCACCCCUCCCCCAGUCUAUAAACUCCACCCUGGUGGGAGGGCUGGGGGGCUAGCAGGCCACUAGUAUAUAUUUAGCAAGUUACUUUACCUUCAUUUGUAUAUCAGUAAAGU